GUGGGGAAUUUUGGACAAUGGGCGCAAGCCUGAUCCAGCAAUGCCGCGUGCAGGAAGAAGGCCUUCGGGUUGUAAACUGCUUUUGUACGGAACGAAACGGUCCGGGUUAAUACCCUGGGCUAAUGACGGUACCGUAAGAAUAAGCACCGGCUAACUACGUGCCAGCAGCCGCGGUAAUACGUAGGGUGCAAGCGUUAAUCGGAAUUACUGGGCGUAAAGCGUGCGCAGGCGGUUUUGUAAGACAGGCGUGAAAUCCCCGGGCUCAACCUGGGAAUUGCGCUUGUGACUGCAAGGCUGGAGUGCGGCAGAGGGGGAUGGAAUUCCGCGUGUAGCAGUGAAAUGCGUAGAGAUGCGGAGGAACACCGAUGGCGAAGGCAGCCCCCUGGGAUGACACUGACGCUCAUGCACGAAAGCGUGGGGAGCAAACAGGAUUAGAUACCCUGGUAGUCC
rnacentral:rRNA from 1 species